rnacentral:rRNA from 1 species
GAUGAACGCUAGCGGCAGGCUUAAUACAUGCAAGUCAAGGGGGUAGCAAUACAACCGGCGCACGGGUGAGUAACACGUACACAACAUACCAUAUACUGAGGUAUAGCUUCGGGAAACUGAAGGUAAUCCCUCAUAGUAUUGUGAAAGGGCAUCUUUUUACAAUUAAAGUUUCGACGGUAUAUGAUUGGUGUGCGUUUGAUUAGUUAGUUGGUAGGGUAACGGCCUACCAAGGCAACGAUCAAUAGCUGGCGUGAGAGCGCGACCAGCCACACUGGAACUGAGACACGGUCCAGACUCCUACGGGAGGCAGCAGUAGGGAAUAUUGGACAAUGGGCGAAAGCCUGAUCCAGCCAUGCCGCGUGAUAGAUGAAGGCCCUCUGGGUUGUAAAUAUCUUUUAUCUGGGAAGAAACACUUCUAUUCUUAGAAGCUUGACGGUACCAGAGGAAUAAGCACCGGCUAACUCCGUGCCAGCAGCCGCGGUAAAGUCUGUACU